CAGUCGCCGCGGUAAUACGGAGGGGGCUAGCUUUGUUCGGAAUUACUGGGCGUAAAGCGCACGUAGGCGGCUUGGUAAGUUAGAGGUGAAAGCCUGGAGCUCAACUCCAGAGUUGCCUUUAAGACUGCCGAGCUAGCAGGUGAGAGAGGUAAGUGGAAUUCCGAGUGUAGAGGUGAAAUUCGUAGAUAUUCGGAAGAACACCAGUGGCGAAGGCGGCUUACUGGCUCAUACUGGACGCUGAGGUGCGAAAGCGUGGGGAGCAAACAGGAUUAGAUACCCCAGUAGUCCUGUCUCUUAUACA
rnacentral:rRNA from 1 species